GGUCUCUGCCCACACUGCAGUGCAGGGCUGUCUCCCUCCUGCCCUGGUGUAGAGACCGAGAGAGAUGCUCAGAGGUUAAGCGUCGUGGCUGCCCAGAGCUUGCAGUCAUGUUUUCCUGCCUCUUACAUCC